UACGGAGGAUGCAAGCGUUAUCCGGAAUCAUUGGGCGUAAAGCGUCCGCAGGUGGCGUAUCAAGUCUGCUGUCAAAGACAGAAGCUCAACUUCUGGCAGGCAGUGGAAACUGGUAAGCUAGAGUACGGUAGGGGUUGAGGGAAUUCCCAGUGUAGCGGUGAAAUGCGUAGAUAUUGGGAAGAACACCAGUGGCGAAGGCGCUCAGCUGGGCCGUAACUGACACUGAGGGACGAAAGCUAGGGGAGCGAAAGGG
rnacentral:rRNA from 1 species